rnacentral:rRNA from 1 species
AUAAGGAGCUUGCUCCUUUGACGUUAGCGGCGGACGGGUGAGUAACACGUGGGUAACCUACCUAUAAGACUGGGACAACUUCGGGAAACCGGAGCUAAUACCGGAUAAUAUGUUGAACCGCAUGGUUCAAUAGUGAAAGAUGGUUUUGCUAUCACUUAUAGAUGGACCCGCGCCGUAUUAGCUAGUUGGUGAGGUAACGGCUCACCAAGGCAACGAUACGUAGCCGACCUGAGAGGGUGAUCGGCCACACUGGAACUGAGACACGGUCCAGACUCCUACGGGAGGCAGCAGUAGGGAAUCUUCCGCAAUGGGCGAAAGCCUGACGGAGCAACGCCGCGUGAGUGAUGAAGGUCUUAGGAUCGUAAAACUCUGUUAUUAGGGAAGAACAAACGUGUAAGUAACUGUGCACGUCUUGACGGUACCUAAUCAGAAAGCCACGGCUAACUACGUGCCAGCAGCCGCGGUAAUACGUAGGUGGCAAGCGUUAUCCGGAAUUAUUGGGCGUAAAGCGCGCGUAGGCGGUUUUUUAAGUCUGAUGUGAAAGCCCACGGCUCAACCGUGGAGGGUCAUUGGAAACUGGAAAACUUGAGUGCAGAAGAGGAAAGUGGAAUUCCAUGUGUAGCGGUGAAAUGCGCAGAGAUAUGGAGGAACACCAGUGGCGAAGGCGACUUUCUGGUCUGUAACUGACGCUGAUGUGCGAAAGCGUGGGGAUCAAACAGGAUUAGAUACCCUGGUAGUCCACGCCGUAAACGAUGAGUGCUAAGUGUUAGGGGGUUUCCGCCCCUUAGUGCUGCAGCUAACGCAUUAAGCACUCCGCCUGGGGAGUACGAC